rnacentral:rRNA from 1 species
AUACCGGCGGCCCGAGUGGCGGCCACUAUUAUUGGGCCUAAAGCGUCCGUAGCCGGGCUGGUAAGUCCCCCGGGAAAUCUGGCGGCUUAACCGUCAGACUGCCGGGGGAUACUGCCAGCCUAGGGACCGGGAGAGGCCGGGGGUAUUCCCGGAGUAGGGGUGAAAUCCUGUAAUCCCGGGAGGACCACCUGUGGCGAAGGCGCCCGGCUGGAACGGGUCCGACGGUGAGGGACGAAGGCCAGGGGAGCGAACCGAAUUAGAAACCCUAGUAGUCC